UGCACUUGUGGUGCUAUUUGCUUAAAACCCAGAUGGUCAUACGAUGUAGAUUAAGAUAUUUAUUUGUGUAUUCUUUUUCUUUUAAUUUUGGGUUUGGUUUGGUUAUUCUUGGAGCUGCAUUUGUGAUUAGAGAUUUAAUUGGAUGUUACAGCUCUUUUCUAGAAUUUUGAUGUUAGCUGAAUAAGGGAUGCUGUGAUUCUUGCUAUUGUUCAAUGUGCUAAAAAAGAGCUGUAACAUCCAAUUA
rnacentral:misc_RNA from 1 species